AUGCCGCGCCACCUGCUGCAGCAGUCCGUCGACCACCUCGCCGCGCUGGCCGCGCCUCCGGCGGCCGCCAUGGCGCGCGGCGGGACGAGCGUGCACACGGAGACGCUGCUCAUCCUGGCGGCGGUGCUCUGCUUCCUGCUCUGCGUGGUCGGGCUGGCCAUGGUCGCGCGCUGCUCCCGCCUGUGCAACCCCUCCGCUUUCUCGGUUGACGCGCCGGGGGCAGUCGCGGCGCCGGGCAAGGGGAUCAAGAAGAAGGCGCUACAAGCGCUGCCAACCGUGUCCUGGCGGCGGCGACGAGGUGCGCGUGCUCCCGACGUGCGGCCACGGCUUCCACGCCGCCUGCGUCGACGUCUGGCUACUGUCCAACUCCACCUGCCCCUCCUGCCGGCGCGCUCUCGUCGUCGCGGCCGCCCAAUCGCCGGCAGCCACCGAGUCUCCCACUCCUCAAACGUGCUGUGA
rnacentral:rRNA from 1 species